AUGUGAUCACCCUCGCGCCUGACUCAGAGUCUGUAAUGAAAGCUCGGGGAGUUAUAGAGCGAAAGGAGACGAUCCCAGUGAUUAAUGCCAAAGCCCUGUUGCCUGGGGAGAGGGUGAUGUUUGACUUUCUUGUACAGCUGCAGUUUGUGUGGUGAAGGUGCUCCCACAAUGUGGUUGGAUCCCAGUGAUUAAUGCCAAAGCCCCAUUGCCUGGGGAGAGGGUGAUGUUUGACUUCCUUGUACAGCUGCAGUUUGUGUGGUGAAGGUGCUCCCACAAUGUGGUUGGGUGGACAUUCAGAUGGUAACCUCAGUAUUUGUAACACCAAACUCUGACAGAAUUACUCAAUUCAUCAGGACCUGGAUAUGUGCAUUUAGUUCUGAGAUGUUUAUGACAGGAAUAUGACAGGCUCCAUUGGACAUCAGCUCAGAAAAGGUGAUACUAGAAUAGAUGACACAUGGUUGGUCGAUGUUUUUGGGAGGGUGCUAGACGGUGAAGAUUUGCAGACUGAAAUCUCAAACUCAUAUGCAGACCGUGAUUAAGUUAACCAGCAUUUGAAGAACCAAAGAUAGAGAAUCACUCGGCCAAAAUCCUGAAAAACUCUCCUCACAGCAUUGUUGGUCUAUUUGUGCCAAAUGGACUGUGACUGGUUCAAGACAACAGCUCACUACCAUCUUCUCCAGGGUAACUAGAGAUGGGGAAUAAAUGCUGGCUGAGCCAGUGAUGCCCAUAUCCUGGAAAUGGUUUCUAUCUCUAGUUGCUGAACCCCAGUUGAUGUUACUGCAGGAUGAUGAGGGAUGCUGAGUACAUCCUCCAGGAGGCAGCACCAUCACAUUACCCCUGCCUACACCCACACAGGAACACAGCAACGUCACUGGAACAAAAGACAGUGAAACCAAAGGAGGACUGAGAUAUAGUUCUUCGAGGUAAAAUCAUGAAAGGGGAUUGGAGCACAGCAGGAACAGGAGACUGAGCUGGAUGGUCAGCUGUUUCCCAUUGAAUGGUGGAGCAGGAUUGAAAGGCCGAAUGGCCUCCUGCUGCUAUCUCCCAGGUAUGUAUAUAGCCAUGGAGCCUGGGUACGAAGAAGGCAGGGCAGGGAUUCUGCAGGCGAAUGCGCUUCCACAUCAGUUUUCAGUGAGGGACAGUUUGGAUUUUAUUUAACAUUGAUCUUUAACACAAGGUUUGUGAAUUUGGUUUUAAAAUGUUGUAGCUGUUUAUUCCACAAUAAGUAAAACUAAAAGAAAUGAAAUGAAACUAUCUGAAUAUAACAGUUUUUAAAAAAUUUCAAACACCCUGAAAAAUAAGUCCUGUCUAUUCCCCCAAAGUAGAGUUAUGGGGAGGGGGCAGCGGUGGAGAUAAAGCACUAUAUCCCCUGCGGUGCCCACCUCUAUUUAAAGGCAUCAAGAGCAUUGAUACACACCACAUGCUCCUUCUCCAAGGACACCCGGCUGUGUCGCCUUUAUCCUCAAUCAUAGAACAGAAUCUUGACAGUAUGGAAGGAGAGCAUUGGCCCAUCAAACCCCACCAACUAUCCAAAGAGCAUCCCACCUGGAGCACUCCACCCCUGUAACACUGCAUUUCCCAUGGAUGAUCCAACGAAUCUGCACAAUCCUGGACACUGUGGACAAUUUAGCAUGACUGAUCCACCUAACCCACAAAUCUUUGGAGGAAACCAGACCACCUGGAGUGGACCCACACUAUCCUGGGGAGAAUGUGAGAACUCCACACAGGCUGUUGACCAAGGCUGGACUCCAACCUUGUACCUGGGGCUGUGAAGCAGCAGUGCUAUAGAGCAAUUUAAAUCAAAACAGAUGACCCCUGCUCAUUGCUGUUUGUGGAGACUCAUUGCCCAGAGAGACAUCCUGAGAUUCAGAAAGAGACAAUAUGAAUUCAAUCAACUCCUGCCGAGUUAAUGUGAUUAACAACAACAUCAAUACUUCAACACUAUCAUCAGACCUUGUACCUAUUCUAUCAUUUACAAUUUUUAACCCAUGGGAAGUUUGUUACCAGCUUCGAUGACAGCCAUAAUGCUCUGACCACUUUGACAGAGCCAGUGCUAGUCAGUUCUCAUAGUUAUCAAUAGAUUGAAUCUAAACAGGAUGCCCCACAACAGGAAGUGCUCUGACACUCAAUGCCCGUAAGUCAAGGUCAUUUUCCUAAAAUCACUCACGUCUGGCAAUACCGUUGAAUGUAUUUUAUACAGUAACCUUUCAGUCUCAAUUGCCAGUUCCAGUCCAUGAAGCAGCCAGUGACAUGCCAGUGAAUAGAAUUCUAACAGCAGCAUUGCCCUGGCAGGAGAGAUUGAGGAGCUUGAAGCUGUCUUCUCUGGAGUAUCUAAACAUGAAACACUUCAAAUGAACAAAAAUCUUCAAGAGCUCGAUAGGAUAGAUACAAGAAGGAAGUGCUCCCUGGCUGGUGUGCCUGAAAUGAAAUAAACACUAACUACGGUAUCUUUACCCAGCAUCCCCUUUAGCUGCAUUAAUGUUGAAGAUUUAUUUGCUGCUCUCAUUCCACUCUCUCCAUCACUCCCAUUUUUCACUGCUGUGAUGUUGAUGACUGUGCAAAUGUAUAAAAUUUAA